GAAAAACUUAAAAAACACUUCUGAUUUAGUUGAUAAAGAAAAGCAUUAAAUUUCAAAUAGCAGUUGUUAACAAUAAGUUUUUGCUUUUUAAUUUCUUAUAUUGAAUAUUCUAAAUAGAUGUGGUUAGCGUUGAAAACAAUUGACAAUCAACUGUCAAGAGGAGUGGUGGCGUCUUCUUCUUGGCGUCUCGAUUUAAUCAAAAUGCUUUAUUUCAUAAUGGACAGACAAUCAAUCAUGGUUCCCAGACGUGGUAAAAGAAUUACGGCUUGGAAGCCAGCAAAAAACCUAAUUUUUAGCGAGUCCUAUCUGUGACAGAGAUCAGUGAAGUCGAAAGUAAAAAAAGUCAAAGAAAUAGGAAUGUGUCCUCCAAAGACGUUGGCCAGAGUAGCUGUUGGUAAACCAAAAAACCAGCCGUUGAAUGCUUUUGUAAGGACGGGGAAUGAAAAUAGUUUUCCUUACUUUUAAUAUUGAAUAUGGGGAAUAGUUGUGUGUGAUGAUGAUGAGUUUAUUGUUGCACACAGUUUUUGGCAAAGACCGAGAUAACA